rnacentral:rRNA from 1 species
UACGAAGGGUGCAAGCGUUACUCGGAAUUACUGGGCGUAAAGCGUGCGUAGGUGGUGAGUUAAGUCUGAUGUGAAAUCCCCGGGCUCAACCUGGGAAUGGCAUUGGAUACUGGCUCGCUAGAGUGCGGUAGAGGGUGGUGAAAUUCCCGGUGUAGCAGUGAAAUGCGUAGAGAUCGGGAGGAACAUCUGUGGCGAAGGCGGCCACCUGGACCAACACUGACACUGAGGCACGAAAGCGUGGGGAGCAAACGGG